GCUGAGUGAGGGGCCGAUGAGAUGGCAUCUGCUGUGGACCUGUUGCUUCAGUAGGCAAAUUGGAGUAGAUCCAAGUCACUUCUCUGCCUGAAAAAAAGAUUGCUGGCUUGCUGCUCACCUACAGAUGGCUUUAUGCAGAAAACCUAGUCUGAUCCUUGAUGUGCAGACUCGCCUACAGAGGGACAAAUAUUCACACGGCAUCUGAAGUAAAAGACAAGAGUUCAAGGGUCACUUUCGUUCCCCAUGUUCGCAACCAACGCAUCAGCGUUACUAACAUCGGAAUGGGAACCCUAAAAUAAUUUCAUCCAUUAAUUAGCAGUGCAGCAAAGAUAUCAUGACCCACAGUUUGCGUUGCAUCAGCACGCAGGAUGGUGUGCUGAAGGACCAAGUAAUCACAUAAGUAAUGGGAAGCUGCUUUACCUAGUACCAUUGGACAUCUCAUAGGCACAGUUGUACAAGCCAAGCAGGACCUUGCGAUCUUCAACACGAGCCAACAGCAUGACGAUGGAGGUGUACGUAGUUACCAGAUCAAGAUAACCCUUGAGCUGGAUCAGAGAUUUAUUACAUGCAACGUAACAGCAGAUGGCAGCAGCUUCGAUAAUUUGGGCUGAGACAAAAGAAUUUGCGUGUGCAAACGGCAUGCAUGCACUCAGAAACGUUGGAAGAUCAUUCCAAACUUCUGCUGCCCUUCGUGACCUAGUGCUUAUGAUGUCACCCUGAUUGGCCUGGUUCAAUGCUGAAGCCUCAGUUUCCAGCAGAGGAAAUCUUCCAACCUCAUCAGCUCCUGCAUUAUUCUGAACCCUUCAGCCACAUCUCCCCUUACUCUUCUCCAUCCAAAUAAUACAACCUUGGUUUUGCAACUAGCCUUCAUCGUGUAACAUUUUGACUGCAAUAUCAUCCAAGCGUAAGUGCCACACCUCAUUCAAGUGAAUUCUUCCUGUCACACCAGAACACAGAACUUGUACUUUCUUACUGCUGUUCUAGAAGAAUGCACACUUACGCCUUUAUAUGAGCUGCAUGAUUUCCUUCAAAGGUGGGACCUAUCUGUCCAGUUUCAUGGAACUUCAGAUGGCCCAAGCUGCAAAUAAGGAACUGUGACUAAACGUACUAUCUGAAAACGUACACUCACCU